UACACUCCUACGGGAGGCAGCAGUGGGGAAUUUUACGCAAUGGGGGAAACCCUGACGUAGCGACACCGCGUGAGCGAAGAAGCCCUUUGGGGUGUAAAGCUCUGUCAGCUGGAACGAAAACAAUGACGGUACCAGCAGAGGAAGCAUCGGCUAACUACGUGCCAGCAGCCGCGGUAAGACGUAGGAUGCGAGCGUUGUCCGGAUUUAUUGGGCGUAAAGAGUUCGUAGGUGGUUUGUUAAGUUUGGUGUUAAAGAUCGGGGCUCAACCCUGGGACUGCACUGAAUACUGGCAGACUCGAGUGUGGUAGAGGCUAGUGGAAUUCCCAGUGUAGCGGUGAAAUGCGUAGAUAUUGGGAAGAACACCGGAGGCGUAGGCGACUAGCUGGGCCAUAACUGACGCUGAGGAACGAAAGCCAGGGGAGCGAAUGGGAUUAGAUACCCCAGUAGUCCC
rnacentral:rRNA from 1 species